UUAUUCAUAUUCACUCGGCUAUGGACGCCUACCACCAUGCAGCUGUACAUUCAGCGCUACAGUGGACAAUAGCGCAAGUUUUCGACUCCAAACGAAAGCCGGUGAAAAAUGAAAAUAUUAACAAAUUUAAUAUUUAUACAAUUACAAAAAAUUUUACAAAAUUUAAGUAGAGUCAAGAUAACCCAUAAGGAAAAAUUGAAAACAUCGUAAAUUAGGUCGACUGAACUUACUUGAUCGCAGUCAGAUAGUUUAGAGUCGAGAAUAGGGAUGUGAUCACCAACGGUAAACAUAAUCCAGUAACUCGUCUUUUAUUGAUAAUUCCAUGGUCUUUGUGCAGAACAACAGAUAUUCACAGCCUUCAGGACAGUGCAGUUUUUUUAUUAUUUAGUACAGGAGAAGUACCAAUUGUGCAAUUACGAAUCUAGUAAUAAUUUAAUUUUGGAGAAUAUACCAGGGAGCCGAUAAUAAGAUUUACAUCUCCGCCGUCCAAGACGACCAUAGGUACGUCAUCCAUACGUGCCCAUCGGCAAACAACUUGUUGUAGUACCGUGCUCUACAUGCGUGAAAUCUAUUAAUUUGAUAAUACAUAAAUCACAAACUUAUUUUUAAGAUUUUAAUAAUAAAUACCUUCUCAGGUAUUGCAUCGAAGCUAAAAUGUAAAAAGUAUAAAUUAUUUACUGAAAUUAAAUGAAAAUGUAUAUAUUUUAGAAGAAGAGGAGUGGAAAUUUGUAACUGUUUUUACAUUAAACAAUAAUUUUUCUUUCACGCAAUUUUUAUUAAUGAUAUUAUUUUAUUAUUAUGACCUGUG